rnacentral:rRNA from 1 species
GACGAACCGUGCGAACGUUGUUCGGAAUCACUGGGCUUAAAGGGCGCGUAGGCGGCUCGACCAGUCUUGGGUGAAAUCUUUCGGCUCAACCGGAAAAGGGCCCGGGAUACUGUCGAGCUUGAGGGGGAUAGGGGCGGACGGAACUUCCGGUGGAGCGGUGAAAUGCGUUGAUAUCGGAAGGAACGCCGGUGGCGAAAGCGGUCCGCUGGGUCCUUACUGACGCUGAGGCGCGAAAGCCAGGGGAGCGAAC